rnacentral:rRNA from 1 species
GACGAACGCUGGCGGCGUGCCUAAUACAUGCAAGUUGAGCGCUGAAGGUUGGUACUUGUACCAACUGGAUGAGCAGCGAACGGGUGAGUAACGCGUGGGGAAUCUGCCUUUGAGCGGGGGACAACAUUUGGAAACGAAUGCUAAUACCGCAUAAAAACUUUAAACACAAGUUUUAAGUUUGAAAGAUGCAAUUGCAUCACUCAAAGAUGAUCCCGCGUUGUAUUUGCUAGUUGGUGAGGUAAAGGCUCACCAAGGCGAUGAUACAUAGCCGACCUGAGAGGGUGAGCGGCCACAUUGGGACUGAGACACGGCCCAAACUCCUACGGGAGGCAGCAGUAGGGAAUCUUCGGCAAUGGACGAAAGUCUGACCGAGCAACGCCGCGUGAGUGAAGAAGGUUUUCGGAUCGUAAAACUCUGUUGGUAGAGAAGAACGUUGGUGAGAGUGGAAAGCUCAUCAAGUGACGGUAACUACCCAGAAAGGGACGGCUAACUACGUG